rnacentral:rRNA from 1 species
UACAGAGACUGCAAGCGUUAUUCGGAUUCACUGGGCGUAAAGGGUGCGCAGGCGGCCGAGUGUGUGAGGCGUGAAAGCCCGGGGCUUAACCCCGGAAUUGCACCUCAAACUACACGGCUAGAGCAUUGGAGAGGGUAGCAGAAUUCAUGGUGUAGCAGUGAAAUGCGUAGAUAUCAGGAGGAACACCGGUGGCGAAGGCGCACAUCUGGCCCGAUACUGACGCUGAGGCGCGAAAGCUAGGGGAGCAAACGGG